AUGAGUGUCAAAACUGCUUUGAGGAGCACUUGCCCUGAACAUUGUAUGAAAAUUCCAUUUUGCUGUUGCACAAGACUGGGGAGCACAAACAUGGUGUCAGCGUCUUGCCUUUCCAAAAAAAAACCCAGGAGGAAACCAGAAGCUAAUCUGCAUCUGCACUCCAUAUACGGCGCAGAUAUAAGUCAGUCUGCACCUCCAGGCCUAGAGGUGACUCACCAAGAUGAGUGUUUAAACCAGCAAUACAAACUCCAGCUUGGAAACCAAACAAUAUCAGUGACUGAUCAGAUAUGACAAAUACUUGAAAAAUUUUUAAAAAGAUUAAAUUAUGCUCAUAUUUAUUCUUUCACUAACACAUUCCAUCUUCUGUUUAUCUGUCUUUUUGACUCUAUUUUAAACACAGAAUGGAGUGGUGUGAUUUUAGAUCAAAAACACAGGGAAAAAAAAGCCCUAAAGCUUCCCUAUGCUUCCCUUACACAAACACUUUAUCACCUUGGUACAUCAUCUGAGAAUGUUUCAGAAUUGUAGCAACUCAGCCUCACACGUAGCAUCUGAAUUCAAGUUUCUUUUUCUGGUAUCUCCUUUUAUGAGGGACACCCACAUGAAGCAGGUACUAUCACUCACUAGCUGAGUAACUGGCAAGAAUUUAUCCAGUUGUGCCAUUACUUAGAGAGCAAGCCAUUUGGAGUCACAAAGCAUCUAACUGGCUGUGUAUCUGUCUGACAAAUGCAUGUUCUGUAUUCUUUUUCUCCCAUCACAUUUUCCUUUAAUUUCUUAUUUUGUGCUCUCGUACCUGCUAUUUGGGAGAAUUUUGCAGCAUCAUUCCUUAUUUUUCUGCUUCUAUCAUUUCUCUAAUCUACAACUGAUGUUAGAUUAUUAUUAAAUUUUGGAGGUUUAUGGUGAUGUUUUUGUUCUCAGAAUAUUGUCUUCCUUGUUAUGAUGUUAAUUACAUGCUGAGAAAGAGUUUAUUUGCCCAUUCUAGUGAUCAAGUUAGUAGACUAGGAGUCAACAGUGACUGGAUUGCAGUUCAUUCCAGAAAUGAAGGAACAGAAUAAUCUUGAAUUUAUAAAUGGUAAGAAGUUUAGAAGAUCAAAAUCAUAAUCAUCAUUCUACAGUGGGAUGAUUCUGUUAUUGAGGUCAGUUCACUGACAUUGAUGCAAGUAUAAAUUAAUUCAGAGGCUCUGAUUUCUAGAGACUAUUUGCUAGUUAACAACUAUUACAACUUCUUAACCAGAUAAUCUGCACAAGAAGUAUCUAUUUGCAUGACAACAAUCCAUGUAGUCACUUUGCCAGUAAUUCACACCAUCUCAAAUAGGGGGGAAAGUAAAAGAAUAUGAGGCAGAGCAAAAUUCAGUCUUCACAGAAUGUUUCUUCUUGCACUUCCAUGAUUUGUUUCCAUUUCCCCUCCAUCCUGAAAAGAGAGACAUGCACAUUUUCUUGUGCUUUUGAAAAUCAUUCCCCCUCAUAGGCCUUAUUUUGUGCAGACUGUUUGUGUUAUCAGCAGUUUAAAUUUCUUCAGAAUAGGGGAACAAGGUAUAAUUAAAGGCUACAGGUAUUUACACUCUCUUCCCUGCCCUAAAGGAACUGAGCUGCUGCCAGCAAUUAAAGGUAGUUGGAAGUUUCCUGGGAUUACAGUCACCAGGAACCACUCUGUUCUCAUCUGCCUGCCCUAGAAAAACUCAUCUGCUGCUGAAUGAUAAAAACACUUCACAAUCCUCUUUAGACACUCCAAGGAAUAAUCUUCAUCUUCAAAGAAUACCUCCUGUUUUAGGUUGAAAUCCUAAUCUAAUAAGGGAACAGUGGCAAAAUUUUGCAACUCACGCAACUCCUUAUAACUAAUUUCAAAAUCUUUUAAUGAAAACAUACAAAGUGUGUGUGCAUGGAUGUUGUAAGUAAUACUCAAAAUAAAUAAAAUGCAAUAAAAAUGGAUGCUGUGGGU
rnacentral:lncRNA from 1 species